AAUUUUUACUCAUUCCCUACUCGGACAUUAGAAAGUUGUUCGCCCUAUAUCGGCAAGAAAUUAAAACAGAUGUUCACCCGGUACAUGCAACUGAGCUGCUGCCAAAAAUUUCAUGCAAAGACACAAUGAAGAAUCACAUGCGCACAAUCCUUAAUUUGAUCAGAACAUAAAUCACAAAAUUAAUUGUUUGCAUCAAUAAUAUUGCAGUGAGCCAAAAGAGCUUUGCACUGUAGUCUAUCCCACACAAGCUUCCAAAGGAAUGUUUGAAUCUUCCGAGGCACCUUCAAAGCCCAGAUCCACCCAGAGUUCACCUGCAUAGGGAGAGAAUAAUUAGGAGUAAUAAAGUAUUUUAUGUCUUGUAAUGAUACCUUCAAACUCUUGGAUGAUGCCCAAACAAGUUGAUCCAGCCAUGUGCCCUGCGCCAAAGGAAUUUUGAUAAUUAAAUUGAUGAGAUCAGUAGAAAAAAAAUAAUAAGAGAUGGUGCAAAUCCCACCACCUAUCAGCCGUAAUAAAAUAUGAGACCUGUAAAUUAAUAUCUAUAUUGUCUAUAUUUAUAAAUAUUGGCCAAAAUAUGAUGGAAAUAUUUGUAAUCCAUGACUCUUUGUAAACAUUAAUGGAAUGACCUGAUCCAACCAACUAUUAAAAUUGAAAUUUAAUGUGGGUUGCAGUGUUUGAAAUCUUCUUCCAAAUAAUAAAAGAACCUUGGUGACAUUUGCGGUCAACCCAGGUUCCAUGAAAAUAAUAUUUUGCUGUGACAAAUUGGGCCCACAAAAAAGAAGAUUGCAAAAUUACCUGAGCAGCUUUUUUUUUUUUUUUUUGAUGAAUUGGAGAGUAGUAGGAAUAUCCAACUACUCACCAAAGAUUUUAUUAAGAAAGAAUCAAGUAAUUACAAUGAGUUAGGUACAGAAGGCAGAAAAGAAAGCUUCUUUCUUGAGAAGGAUUACAGUAGAACAUACAGUACAAGAAACCAAGAUGAUAGAAAGAGUGGAGACUCAUACAAUCACAGGUAUAAUCCAAAAUAGAAUAGUAUGGAUAGUCACAAGUAUAAC
rnacentral:lncRNA from 1 species